UACGUAGGGUGCGAGCGUUAAUCGGAAUUACUGGGCGUAAAGGGCGCGUAGGCGGUUCGCUAAGUUGAAUGUGAAAACUCUGGGCUUAAUCCAGAGCCUGCAUUCAAUACUGGCGGGCUAGAGUUCUGGAGGGGAUAGCGGAAUUCCUGGUGUAGCGGUGAAAUGCGUAGAUAUCAGGAGGAACACCGGUGGCGAAGGCGGCUAUCUGGACAGAGUCUGACGCUGAGGCGCGAAAGCUAGGGGAGCAAACAGG
rnacentral:rRNA from 1 species